rnacentral:misc_RNA from 1 species
GAUGAAGAACGUAGCGAAAUGCGAUAAGUGAUGUGAAUUGCAGAAUUCAGUGAAUCAUCGAAUCUUUGAACGCACAUUGCGCCCGCCAGUAUUCUGGCGGGCAUGCCUGUUCGAGCGUCAUUUCAACCAUCAAGCCCCCGGGCUUGUGUUGGGGACCUGCGGCUGCCGCAGGCCCUGAAAAGCAGUGGCGGGCUCGCUGUCACACCGAGCGUAGUAGAUUUUAUCUCGCUCAGGGCGUGCUGCGGGUUCCGGCCGUUAAACCACCUUCAUAACCCAAGGUUGACCUCGGAUCAGGUAGGAAGACCCGCUGAACUUAAGCAUAUCAAUAAGCGGAGGA